GUGUUGUGAGCGGCGGACGCAGGACCACUGUUCACUGUGAUUAGAUGUGAACACAGCUUCUGAAAAUGAGCGGGAGUGCUUUUGUUGAACCUACCUGUCAGCUCCAUUGAGGCUCAUUUUUUCUGCCAGACAGGCCAGCAUCCGCUCAUGUACUGCAGAGGCCGCCCACUUGGUCCAGCCUGUGUGACGGGCACCUGCCCAGGCCAUUGUAUUCGGGGUUUUUUUUGUUUACAGAUUUUAAAGUCUUUAUUGAAUUUGUUACAGUAUCGCUUCUGUUUUGUGUUUUGGUUUUUUGGCCCUGAGGCAUGUGGGAUCUUAUCUCCCCAACCAGGGAUCUAUCCCGCACCCCCUGCAUUGGAAGGCGACAUCUUAACCACUGGACCGCCAGGGAAAUUCCCCGGGCCGCUGUAUUCUGGACGCGCUUGGCACCAGCGACGUUCCCGUCCUUGCCUGCAGAGCCUGUUCUGCCCGGAGGGGAACAGCUGAACACACAGGGCUUCUCCCACAGGAACCAGUGUGGUCGGCUGGCUGGGAGGGGCGGGGGAGGCCGAGUCCCUGACGUGCGGGGGCCUGGGCGUCGUCUUCCCUCUGCCUCUUAGGCCCGUGGGCCUGGGGCGACCCUUCACCUUCUUAUCUGCAGGGCAGCACUGGGAUCAGAGCACACGGGGGCUGGAGACCAAAAAGUCUGGUGGAGAGCAGGGGGUAGUGUUGGAUGCCAGGACAGAGGUGCCACCCCACUGUGUUGUCCAGAAAAGCCCUAGGGCAGGACUUGGACACACAGGGCCAGUUGCAUCUGAUGAACUCUCAGGAACCCGCCAGGAGCGUCCGUUUUGUACGUGGUCACAACUCUGGGGGUCCCCGUUCUUGGUUCUGCCCGUCACGAUUCCCCACGCGCUGUGCGCCCUGGGUUGGGGCCUCCUCCACCAGCCA